UACGAGGGGGGCGAGCGUUGUUCGGAAUUAUUGGGCGUAAAGGGUGCGUAGGCGGUUUGGUAAGUCUUGUGUGAAAUCUCCAGGCUCAACUUGGAGUCUGCACGAGAAACUGCCGGGCUUGAGUGUGGGAGAGGUGAGUGGAAUUCCUGGUGUAGCGGUGAAAUGCGUAGAUAUCAGGAGGAACACCUGUGGCGAAGGCGGGUCUCUGGGCAGUAACUGACGCUGAGGAGCGAAAGCGUGGGGAGCGAACAGG
rnacentral:rRNA from 1 species